AGACAUGACGCAGUCUGAUCAGCCAUGCCGCGUGAGGAUGAGGCCCUCUGGGUUGUAAACUUCUUUUAUAUGGGACGAAAAGGGUCUUUCUAGAUCAACUGACGGUACCAUUUGAAUAAGCACCGGCUAACUCCAUGCCAGCAGCCGCGGUAAU
rnacentral:rRNA from 1 species